rnacentral:rRNA from 1 species
UACGUAGGGUGCAAGCGUUGUCCGGAAUUAUUGGGCGUAAAGAGCUUGUAGGCGGUUUGUCGCGUCUGCUGUGAAAUUUCGGGGCUCAACCCCGAACUUGCAGUGGGUACGGGCAGACUAGAGUGUGGUAGGGGAGACUGGAAUUCCUGGUGUAGCGGUGAAAUGCGCAGAUAUCAGGAGGAACACCGGUGGCGAAGGCGGCUUCCUGGACCGACACUGACGCUGAGGCGCGAAAGCGUGGGGAGCGAACCGG